GAUGAAGAACGUAGCGAAAUGCGAUACUUGGGUGAAUUGCAGAAUCCCGUGAACCAUCGAGUCUUUGAACGCAAGUUGCGCCCGAAGCCAUUAGGCCGAGGGCACGCCUGCCUGGGCGUCACACGUCGUUGCCCCCCCAUCUACUCCUUCGGGAUUGCGGGGGGCGGAUGAUGGCCUCCCGUGCGCCUCGCCGCGCGGUUGGCAUAAAUGCCAAGUCCUCGGCGACGCACGCCACGACAAUCGGUGGUUGCGAAACCUCGGUUGCCCGUCGUGUGCGGUCGUCGCGCAUCGAGGGCUCGAAAAAAUUGCCGGGUUCCGGCUCGGCUUUCAACGCGACCCCAGGUCAGGCGGGGUUACCCGCUGAAUUUAAGCAUAUCAAUAAGCGGAGGA
rnacentral:misc_RNA from 1 species